GACGAACGCUGGCGGCGUGCUUAACACAUGCAAGUCGAACGGAAAGGCCCUGCUUUUGUGGGGUGCUCGAGUGGCGAACGGGGGAGUAACACGUGAGUAACCUGUCCUUGACUUUGGGAUAACUUCAGGAAACUGGGGCUAAUACCGGAUAGGAGCUCCUGCUGCAUGGUGGGGGAUGGAAAGUUUCGGCGGUUGGGGAUGGACUCGCGGCUUACCCGCUUGUUGGUGGGGUAGUGGCUUACAAAGGCUUUGACGGGUAGCCGGCGUGGGAGGGUGACCGGCGACAAGGGGACUGAGGUAGGGCCCAGACGCCUACGGGAGGCAGCAGUGGGGAGUAUUACACAAUGGGCGGAAGCCUGAUGCAGCAACGCCGCGUGCGGGAUGACGGGCUUCGGGGUGUAAACCGCUGUCGCCUGUGACGAAGCGUGAGUGACGGUAAUGGGUAAAGAAGCACCGGCUAACUACGUG
rnacentral:rRNA from 1 species